ACUCUGCAGUUCCUAGAGAUGGGCUAAAUUUCUAGGCUCCUCACCCCCACCCACCCUUUCCCACAGACACCAACUGAAUUUAAAAAUCUGUUUUGCCCUCUCCCACUCAUAAUAGCCAACGUAGAGAGCAGAUUUGCCAUAUUCAAGACCUGGACGAAGCCCUUUACGAGCAGAGCAUUCUCUCCAAUUCUUUUUUACAGCCCUACAAGGGAGUUUUCAUUCUCAUCCCCAUUCCACAGAUGAGGAAGUUGGGACCCAGAGAGGUAAAGUGAUCUGACUCCCAAUCCAGUGCUCUCCCUAUCACAUCAUGAUAGAUGAGAUUUAGCCUCAGCUGAAGGAGCAGCAAGCAGCUACCCAGAGGAACUCUUAUGGAGUUGGCAGUGGUGCAGCAGGGGAAGCCCAACUGUGCAAGCUUUUUUCACACCCCUGCUUACACUUGUCUAUUAAAAUUCCACUGGCUCAGUCGAGUCUCCUAGCUGAACCCAAAGACAACAAGUAAGGAACUCUACUCUGUGGAGGUGAGUGAGAGGGAGUGAAUACGGGGUGAAUAUUUUUGAAAAAAAAUCUAUCAGAAAUCCUGUACUUGAAUGUCAUUAUUUAUGCUCUGUCAGAAUGUUUUCAGCUCCCAGUAACAGAAAAACCAACCCAAAUUAACUUAAAAAAGGAUUUAUGGGCUCAAAUUAAAAAAAAAAAAAAAAAGGCAAAAAGUAGUGCCCUCUCC